UACGUAGGGUGCGAGCGUUAAUCGGAAUUACUGGGCGUAGAGUGUGCGCAGGCGGCUUCGCAAGUCGAGUGUGAAAUCCCCGAGCUUAACUUGGGAAUUGCGCUCGAAACUACGGAGCUGGAGUGUGGCAGAGGAAGGUGGAAUUCCACGUGUAGCGGUGAAAUGCGUAGAGAUGUGGAGGAACACCGAUGGCGAAGGCAGCCUUCUGGGCCAACACUGACGCUCAUGCACGAAAGCGUGGGGAGCAAACAGG
rnacentral:rRNA from 1 species